CACCGCGGUUAUACGAUAAGCCCAAGUUGAUAAAUAACGGCGUAAAGGGUGGUUAAGGCAUAUUAAAUUUCACUGGAGCUGAACUUUUUCAGAGCUGUUAUACGCUUAUGGAACGGGAAGCCCAACUACGAAGGUGGCUCCAACUAUUCCUGACACCACGAAAGCUAUGGCA
rnacentral:rRNA from 1 species